UCAUGAAGCGAUGGGGACCUGGGGCUGCUGCAGUGCUCCCUCAUGCACAGAUGGGGACCUGCAAUGCUGCCCCUCCAAUCCCCAUCUCCUGUAAGACCAGGACAGGGUCAAAUUAUAAACACACACUUAAUAAACUGCUAUUAUACACAGUACAGUACAUGCUAACAGCAAUAAAUACUUCCCACAUUUGCACAGAAAGAAUGUUGUAUUUGUCAGUCUACUUGGCUGUGCUGGAAGGGCAGAUCACUACUCCCUUAGUCAGUUCUAAGCAGCUGAUAAACAUUAAAAACAAAUGUAAACUUUGUCUUGUGUUUUCUGACUUUUUUCCCCACAAAACCUUUCUUUAACAGUAGUUUUUAAGGAGAUAAGUAAUACAUUUUUUGACAUCUAUUUUUUCCACUUCUAACAUUAUAAAUGGGAUAUAUUAGAGUGACUUUGGGUUGUAAUUUAAAUGCCUGAAAGAUGAGACUGCCGGCUUUGUUCGCACAAGAUAAGGUUCUUACUGCACUUCCUAUCCUCAUGUUUUGAUUCUUCGUCCCACGUAUUGCUGGGAAAGCGCCCCCACAUCUCGGUUAAAUGAGCUGCAGGUGGAAGAGGGAGUGGACAAGUGGCAGCUGCCUCCCAUAAAGACGGUCAAAAUCAUUUUUGGAGCUUUGGCUUAACUAAGCGAGAGGAGGCUGUGGGUUUUUGGCGUUUUGGCGCUUGCAAGAGCAGGGCUGGUAAUUCUAAAUGGAAACUGGAGAGGGCUCCAGCCUUUCCUGAAAGCUUUCUGCAGCUCCUUCAGGCGUGAGCUUGGAACAGUGUUUAAAAAAAAUGAAUACUGUCUCUGCUUCAGAAAGUGGAUCAUAUUCCACAAACCACUUGAGGCCUUUUUUUUAUGCACAGCCAACAGCACAACAACAUCUUCUAAAUCCGUGGUAUCUCAGCCAUACGUAUAAUCCAUACUGUGUACCUGCACUAGGCUUCCGAAGUGGGCAUCCAUUUUUUCCAUUUUAUUCUGUGGCACUCCAUGAGUACCCUGGAUUCCUUGUUCCACAGCAUCCAGUGCAUGCAAGAAUCAACAGAAGGUCUUAUUUAAAUGCUCCCCCACCCUCUCCUAUGUUCUAUUACGCAACCCGAUUGAGACACUAUAGUACCCCUGGGAAAAAA